rnacentral:rRNA from 1 species
AGAGUUUGAUCCUGGCUCAGGACGAACGCUGGCGGCGCGCCUAACACAUGCAAGUCGAACGAGAGAGAAGUAGCUUGCUUCUUCGAUCGAGUGGCGAACGGGUGAGUAACGCGUGAGGAACCUGCCUCAAAGAGGGGGACAACAGUUGGAAACGACUGCUAAUACCGCAUAAGCCCACAGGUCGGCAUCGACCAGAGGGAAAAGGAGCAAUCCGCUUUGAGAUGGCCUCGCGUCCGAUUAGCUAGUUGGUGAGGUAACGGCCCACCAAGGCGACGAUCGGUAGCCGGACUGAGAGGUUGAACGGCCACAUUGGGACUGAGACACGGCCCAGACUCCUACGGGAGGCAGCAGUGGGGAAUAUUGCACAAUGGGGGAAACCCUGAUGCAGCGACGCCGCGUGGAGGAAGAAGGUCUUCGGAUUGUAAACUCCUGUUGUUGAGGAAGAUAAUGACGGUACUCAACAAGGAAGUGACGGCUAACUACGUGCCAGCAGCCGCGGUAAAACGUAGGUCACAAGCGUUGUCCGGAAUUACUGGGUGUAAAGGGAGCGCAGGCGGGAAGACAAGUUGGAAGUGAAAUCCAUGGGCUCAACCCAUGAACUGCUUUCAAAACUGUUUUUCUUGAGUAGUGCAGAGGUAGGCGGAAUUCCCGGUGUAGCGGUGGAAUGCGUAGAUAUCGGGAGGAACACCAGUGGCGAAGGCGGCCUACUGGGCACCAACUGACGCUGAGGCUCGAAAGUGUGGGUAGCAAACAGGAUUAGAUACCCUGGUAGUCCACACCGUAAACGAUGAUUACUAGGUGUUGGAGGAUUGACCCCUUCAGUGCCGCAGUUAACACAAUAAGUAAUCCACCUGGGGAGUACGACCGCAAGGUUGAAACUCAAAGGAAUUGACGGGGGCCCGCACAAGCAGUGGAGUAUGUGGUUUAAUUCGACGCAACGCGAAGAACCUUACCAAGUCUUGACAU